UAAUUAUUCAAUUGCAGUGCCUCACAAUAUGUAUAUGUAUAUGUAUGUAUAUACAGUAUAUUCAGAUAUAUGUUAGGAUGUGUGUUAAACUUGCUGUUUCUGACCUUCCGUAUCACAAAGCUGUUAAUAUGAAACUGUUUUUGACAACAUAAAACCAGGAGCUCAAAGAUAUUCCCAGACACCACAGGGAAGCGGCACUGAGGUCGUAGGUCAUGGACAUCCAUCAACAAGUGUAUUCAUCCUCACAAUGUUUGCAAUAAUGGAACCAUAAACUAGUGUUUGUGCCCGCUACCACAGCACUGUCCUAUUUUCUCCCAGAGACAGGAAACAGGAAGCUGAAGCACCCGAGGAGGGUUUAUUCAACAGGAAACAUUACCUCCAUAUCUGUGGCAGCACUCUGUCACUCCUAACUGUGUGAGGUUGUUUAAUCACGGCAUUAAAGUCCAUCCUCAGCAUGGGGCUUUGGGAUAAAGAAAAGGUGGAGGAAGACAAGGCCCGUCAUGUUCAGCCUGUAAUUGUGACGCAUCAAAGAAGAAGCGCCGACGCGUAAAACUCAGACGCCGUCAAACGGUAUCUGCGACCCCAGCCAGGCUGAAGCACUUUCCAUCUGACGCACAUUAAACAGCGCUCACUUCAACAUGUAUGCACACAUAUUUUAAUGGCAGAGCAGCAGAUUCAUCUCGGAUCUGUGAGUUUUCAUCUGACUCAUCUGUGGAAACGUCUUUAAAAUAGCUUCGGAGUGAUUCUCUCUAUUUGAUUGACGCAAAAUGAAAAAAAAAGCAUCGUGUGGAACAAAAACUAAAAAGACUUUAGUGCAAUAAAGAUCAACUAGAAAUGUCAAAAUGACAACACAAGCCGUCAGUCUUGCAGGA